CGGCUCCUUUGUCCCGACUUCCGUGCUCCAUGCGCCGGCCAAUCGAUUCUUCCCACUCGGCAACCACCGCCUUAACCUUCCUCCACGAAAUCGUACAAAAUACGAAAAAAUCGAAUAAUCCGAGAUCGUACGAUUGAAAAUUCAUCGAAACACAAUGGAAAUGAAAAUUGAAGCUUGAAUUCCUCCCUGAGGGCGAGGAGCGGAGUACAGCUUCCGAGGAGUUAAACUGGAGGAAAAACUAGCCUGGCGGACGUGCAACAGGUAGGAAAGCGAAUGCAGAGGCCAGUGCAAGUCCGAGCAGAGCGUGGAAUAUCGACGAAACGGAGGAGCCAGUCGAGGUUUCGCCUCGGCGGCCGAAAAUAUCGACGCGUAUCGACCUUCCGCCGGCUAAAAUCGUCCCUCUGUUUUCUUUCUUCUUUCCUCUACGAUCGCGCCGAAUAUUUUGUCAUUUUCGACCUACCAACGCUCCCGGCCCGAUGAUCCAGGAGUUUUCCAAUCGCGAUAACCUUGGUCCCCGCAACUGUCCAAACAGAAUUUCAAUACCCGAUGAUGACGCGUCGUUUGACGUACAUUCUUUCGAGGAGAGAAAGAGCUUAAAAAAAAAAGAAAAGAAAAACAACGAUGCGGAAUCGGUAAUAUUGUUGCUUGUCAGCCGAUAAAGCAUCGAGAAGGAAGAAUCGAUCGCUUCGUUAAGAUAUAAAGCGGCGAACGAUUUCGAUUUCGAUUUCGCGUGGAAAACGAUAGACCAUCGAUGCGAGAAGGCGAAUCGGUAUGCGUAAUCGAGCAACCAACGCGCUCCAGAAUCGACUCGCGGUUGCUCAACGAGACUAGUAACCGUACCACGGCCCGCGAGCUACCUAAUCGUACACCUUCACCUAUAUAUUCGUCCAUGUUUUGCGCGACAACGUACCCUUUCGAAUCGCGAUCGUUCGCAGAACCGUGUACGCGCGACUAACGCGGUUUUAACCCUUCACCGUGGUGAAAUGCUCCUCUGGUUAAUCAACGACGAAAUCCAACGAACGGGGAACAGGUAGGAGCAGGAAGAGGAGAAAGCAAAGUGGAAGGAAACGGAGGACGAAGAAGGGCGUGUCGAGUCGAUGCUUUCUACCGGUACUGUACCGGUUUUAAAGGACUCUGAAGGAGUAUAAGAGAAACGCGAUAGGAACGAGCGACACGGAUCGCACACGCGUGCAGCACAGGUACGAUUCGCGUACCUGAAAGGUGCGCGACAAGGACAAUGGUCGAGAGAGAGAGACGACCGUGGUACGCGAGCUCAGGAAUAGACGAUAGAGGAAGAAAGAAGGAAAGAGAGAGAGAAGCAAGAGCUGAACGGAUGCGAGGAACACGAGUGAAGGAGAAGAGAGGUGGACUAGCCACUGAAGAGCAAACUGGCCAGACUGCCUGCCGCCGUCGACAACGUAACACCGUUCUUCAGGCCAGAGACAGCACUUGGGUAGCUGCUGGUAGGGGAACGUGCGAGGAGAGCAAUCGGACAAACAGCCAACCACUGGAUGUAAAAUAAUAUUCAACGAGAAAACGAGAGCGUACUGUUGAGUCUAACGAACAUUCGACACUGAUUAUUUUCUAGAAACCCGCUGCUAUCGACUCCGGGGUCGCGCUGAAAGUUUUGAGAAUCUAUCGGUGAACUGGAUGGAAAUAGGGUAAACAUCUAUUUUCAUCGAGUUAUUUAUCCCUCGAACAACGAGGCCGAGUCAUUGUUAACUCAAUUUAGUUGUAAAUUAAUUUUAGAUCAUUUCUGUACUUAAUUUGGGCUUCCACCUUUGUGAAGAGUUAACAGAGGAACAAUGUAGAAUCUAUUUUGGAGCUAAAUAAGAUUCUAGAAUAUCACAGAGGAGGAAGGUUCGUGGUAAUUUUGGAUGCUGAUCGGAGGAGACAACGGUGAAUCGAUUAACGGAACGUUCUCCUUUAGUUCGUUCACCGAAAGAAUUAAUCAGCGAACAGUAAAUUGGCCGCAGACUGCCUGUCGCCUUUGGGAUCGUGGUACAAGUGCCAAUAAAAGUGGCCAGAGGAAGUAGGAGAAGAACGGCUGCUACUAAAACGAUCCGACUGACGUGGACACCUUUUCUGACCUUAUUCGACGAAAUUAGAAAUCUAUUGGGAACGAAUCGAAGACGUUUUCUGGAAAGUAACCUGCUGAUCGGCUCGCUGGAAAACUCGUACGACGCCUGAUUGCAUAAACAUCGAUCAUUCGCGCGUAACAAUCGAAGCCACGCAACACCUUUGAUAAUAUUUCAUUUCCUAUAUUCUAUUCUGUAUCCCUGUAUCAAGUUGAUCGUUCUUAAAUAAACUGAUACGAUAUUGGCCA